rnacentral:lncRNA from 1 species
UGGGAGACUGACCUGGCCCUGGGCGGAAGUGCUGGAUGAAGAAGACGACGUCGAAGACGAUGGAGAAGACCCCGAGUCCAAACUUGGUUGGGUCUCCGAAGAUCAGCGUCCACUGGUCUGUUAGCAGCCGGGGGACAGAAGCUGGUGUUAGGUUGGCAGCUCCUGAGGCAGCUGGAGCAUGUGGGGUGGUGGGCGGUGGGGGUCCCAGAAGACCACAAACCCUCCAGCUAUGAAGGCCCCUAGGUGGGUCUCUCCUUGGGGGCUGGAUUGGCUUGGAUCCCAGGUGGGGGUGGAGCCCUGGCUGGAAGGUCCGGGAAGGCUGGCCCCGCCCGAUGCCCCAGCCGCAGGGUGGCCAGCAGCCCGCUGGCUGACUCACCGUUGUUGUAGGACUGGAGAAACAUCUGCAGGAGGCUGAAGCUGCCCCCGGUGAAGUCCAGGAGCACGUUGCCAAUGCUCCAGCCCUCAGUGCUUUUGUAGUAAAAGUUCAUGUAGGCCUGGGCCAGACAGACGGACAGACAGACGGAGGGCGGUGAGGGCUGGGCGGCUGCCUCACGCGCCUCGUGACUGCCCCUCCAAACAAAAGCGGUUCUCAUUCCUCCCACUGGGGCCUUGGCUCCAAGGAACACGGUGACCUUUGGGCUAUGACAGGCCUCAGCCAAGGAACAGUUUGGGUGGUCCUGGGGGUAGGCGUCUCAUCUGCAUGUACAGCAAGCAAAGGCCCCCUGCCCCCCACACCUCACAGCUCCAGCAGAGGCGGGGCCGAUGCGGCCUUCCCCGUCUCCUCCACAUCCCUGGGGCCAAGGCCCUGUGCUACUUUCCCUGUAGCUAUGAUUCUUCUUCUCACCUCCAGGCAAGGCUGUCCCCAAACUCAGCCUGGACUUGAUGUGCUUAGGGACUGGUGGGAGUGGGACUUCUGGUUUGGAAUCCUGGCUCCAUCACCGGAGCCUGCUGUCUUGGGCAAGUGACAGUUCUCCUAGCCUUGGUUUCCCCGUCUGUAGAGCGGGGUUAACGCCCCACACAGGCCUGGCCGGGGCUUCCUGGGUCUGGGGGGGGCGGGUCUGCGGGGAUGCGCCCCAGUCUGACUGCCUGUGCCCCACGUCCUCCCAUGCUGCAGAGCCCUGUGGGUCCUCUGACUGCUGUGACCUUUCCUUCCCCCCGUGAGGGAGGUCCUGGCCUCUCUGGUGGCCUCCCAGUGAGCCUCUAGUCAGUCCCUGUCUGUGUC